UACGUAGGGGGCAAGCGUUGUCCGGAAUUAUUGGGCGUAAAGAGCGUGUAGGCGGCCAGAUAAGUCCGCUGUGAAAUCUCGAGGCUCAACUUCGAGCUGUCGGUGGAAACUAUCUGGCUAGAGUCCGGUAGAGGAGAAUGGAAUUCCUGGUGUAGCGGUGAAAUGCGCAGAUAUCAGGAAGAACACCCGUGGCGAAGGCGGUUCUCUGGGACGGUACUGACGCUGAGGCGCGAAAGCGUGGGGAGCGAACAGG
rnacentral:rRNA from 1 species